rnacentral:rRNA from 1 species
UACGUAGGGGGCAAGCGUUGUCCGGAUUUAUUGGGCGUAAAGAGCGUGUAGGCGGCUUUACAGGUCCGCUGUGAAAACUCGAGGCUCAACCUCGAGAUGUCGGUGGAAACCGUAUGGCUAGAGUCCGGAAGAGGAGAGUGGAAUUCCUGGUGUAGCGGUGAAAUGCGCAGAUAUCAGGAAGAACACCAAUAGCGAAGGCAGCUCGCUGGGACGU